GAUGAACGCUGGCGGCGUGCCUAAUACAUGCAAGUCGAGCGAAGCGGGGACGGGUGAGUAACACGUGGAUAACCUCCUAUAAGACUGGGAUAACUUCGGGAAACCGGAGCGAAACCGGAGAAUUAUAGAUGGAUCCGGGCUGCAUUAGCUGGUGGGUAAGGUAACGGCUUACAAAGGCAACGAUGCAUAGCCGGCCUGAGAGGUGGACCGGCCACACUGGAACUGAGCCACGUUCCAGCCUCCUACGGAAGGAAGCAGGAGGGAAUCUUCCGCAAGGGGCGAAAGCCUGACGGAGCAACGCCGCGUGAGUGAUGAAGGUCUUCGGAUCGUAAAACUCUGUUAUUAGGGAAGCGGUACCUAAUCAGAAAGCCACGGCUAACUACGUGCCAGCAGCCGCGGUAAUAC
rnacentral:rRNA from 1 species